rnacentral:lncRNA from 1 species
UUUGAUACUGCUUGUUUAGAAAUGUGAAAGGCUAAUCGAAUAGCUGUUUUUCUGACACAUUGUUUUAGACAGUUUAGAGAGACCCAAAGUAUUUGUCAUACACUUUCAAACAGAUGAAAAAUUCAUAGAUAUUGACAUUAAUAGAGCAAAUGAAGACAUGGAAGCUAAACAGUAGUAGCUACGGAGGGGAGUACAAUCCACAGGAGGCUUUAGGAGAGAAGCGGGGACCCAGUGCCUGAAGUUGCGGUGCUCAGUUUAGCACUUUCAACAAAAAAGAAACUAGAAAUUUAUCAUUUUAAAAUUAUAGAAAUUAUAUAUUUAAAAUACUUGUAUUUUAAAAGUAUAUUUUAUAAUUUUGUAAGUUAUAAAAUUUGUUCUUCUAACUGUAAAAAUUGGAAUUGAGAACAGAAUUAAAUGGAAUUAGAAAAUUGUGGAGUUCCACUAACAUUAAAAAAGGC